AAAAAUUGCUUCAAAGCUAAUAGUGUAAAACGUAAUUUUCCAAAUAUAUGUUUUUGAAAAUUGAAAUCUUGCUUUAAUAUCCUCAGUGUGCUUAUCACACUCCUGGCAAACAGCCAUAUUUUUUAGAUCAGUGAGGAGGUCCACCCAUGAACCAUAGUCACGCGCCCGCGAUCAUUGGUGAACUUUACACUUCGCUAAUACUUUUCUUUCCCCGGGUGUAAAUAGCCGGGCGGAAUUAGUACCCUCACCCUGGGCUAACGCCCGGAAGCGCCGUUAAUUGGCUCCGGGAUUAGAAAAGUGAAACGUGUCCAGCGUCGUACGGCUAAGUACAUACUAAAGUUGCCGUUCUCCUGUGAACAAUCGUAUAAAAAUAGACUUCUUGAACUAAAACUUCUCCCAUUAACCAACGGGCAUGAAUUUUUAGAUAUGUUUUUCCUCAAAAUUGUCAAUGGACUCGUAGACAUCAACCCAGACUUUACACCGGAAGUCCGGAAUGCACGCCCUACUAGAUCUACUAGUAACUGUCCAAUACUUUUUCCGCAAAUGUAAGAAUUCCUCUACCUUUCAAAAAAAAAUUAACAGGUCUUCCCGUGUGUGGAAUUCCCUAGCAAACACUAUUGACAAUUUUAAUACUACUGGGGCCGAUUGUUCAAAGCUGGGUUAGCUUAACCCUAGGUUAACUUAAAAUUCAAAGCAAACUUCCUGACAGCUUGUCUAUAAAUUUGGAAAUAUUUCUUCAGAGAUCUUGUCUGGAUCGAUAGGAACUCUGAAGUUUUGAAAUAAACAGACGUACGGAAAUACACAAACUAAAACAGCAGGUUAAAUUUUAACCCAGGGUUAGCGCUAAUCCACCUUUGAACAACCGGCCCCUGAUCUACGCUUCUUCCGUAGAAUUCUAUCGUAUGACCCUGAAGACACACGCACUUGGAAAACCAUAUGUAUGCAUGUCGUGCAACUCACCACGUAGCCUAGUGUCCUCUAUAGUAUGUUGUUUCUAGAUAUUUUUUUAUUAUUUGUAUAUUAGCCAUUACUUGUGUAUUUUAUGUGUUGGGGCCGUAGUAAAUGGCAAAUGUUGCAACUCAAAUGUUGCCGAGAUCUGGUAUGAAGAGAACUGUCAUGGCUUCUUGAACAACGUUCGCUUACAAUUAUACUAUAAUCCAUC